rnacentral:rRNA from 1 species
CCUACGGGAGGCAGCAGUGGGGAAUAUUGCACAAUGGGGGAAACCCUGAUGCAGCGACGCCGCGUGAGCGAUGAAGUAUUUCGGUAUGUAAAGCUCUAUCAGCAGGGAAGAAAAUGACGGUACCUGACUAAGAAGCCCCGGCUAACUACGUGCCAGCAGCCGCGGUAAUACGUAGGGGGCAAGCGUUAUCCGGAUUUACUGGGUGUAAAGGGGGCGUAGACGGCGAUGCAAGCCAGAUGUGAAAGCCCGGGGGUCAAACCCGGGACUGCAUUUGGAACUGUAUAGCUGGAGUGUCGGAGAGGCAGGCGGAAUUCGUAGUGUAGCGGUGAAAUGCGUAGAUAUUAGGCGGAACACCAGUGGCGAAGGCGGCCUGCUGGACGAUGACUGACGUUGAGGCUCGAAAGCGUGGGGAGCAAACAGGAUUAGAUACCCCAGUAGUC